rnacentral:lncRNA from 1 species
CCCAAGUAGAUUCAGAAACAACAAUAGACUUCUAUUACUAUAUACUGGCAAUAAUAACCACACAGCUAACAUAUUACUUACUAUGUUUGUGUCCCAAAUAGAACCCUAUUCUCUACAUAGUGCACCCUAUGGGCCCUGGUCAAAAGAAGUGCUCUAUAUAGGGAAUAGGGUGUCAUUUGAGACACAUUCUAUAUAUAUAUAUUUCCAUAUACGGGGCAAUUUUUAUGCUGCUAUAAUGACUUGGCUGGUGAAAGCCUGCAUGGCUAACUGAUGACUUACUUCUACAAUAUUUAUAGGUAUAGUUUUACUUCUCAUUUCCCAUUUUUUGGCAAUUUCAAGCAUCGUUUACCCACCGACCAACUGCACUAACCAUUACAGCAUUUAUAUAUUUCUUUCCAGAGAUGGCAUGUUGGAAGAGGUUAUAGGAGUGUGUGUGUGUGUGUGUGCCUGCUCCCAUGUGUGCUGUUUGUGUGUGUGUGCCUGUUUGUGUGUGUCUGCUCCCAUGUUUGCGUGUGCGCGUGUGCCUGCUCCCAUGUGUGCCUGUUUGCGGUGUGUCUGCUCCCAUGUGUGCCUCUGCCUGUUCCUGCUUGUGCUCCCAUGUGUGCAAGUGAGUGAGUGACAGAAUUUGUCGUAUUUACAUUUUUUUUUUUACAGACACACUUAUCCAGAGUGACAUAAAGGAGCUAUUACGGUUAAGUGCCAUGCUCAUGGGCACAUCGCCAGAUUUUUCACCUAGUCGGCUCGGGGAUUCGAACCAGCGGACCUUUCCGUUACUGGCCUAACGCUCUUAACCCCUAGGCUAUCUGCCUCCCCCCAGUGUUCCGUACUCCUCCAUGGUUACAGCAGGCAGGUUACUAGGGAGAGGGUCUGGUCAGCCCAACACUCAGGCCAGCACUCAGGCCAGCACUCAGGUCAACACUCAGGUCAGCACUCAGGCCAGCACUCAGGCCAGCACUCAGGCCAGCACUCAGGCCAGCACUCAGGCCAGCCCUCAGGCCAGCCCUCAGGCCAGCCCUCAGGCCAGCCCUCAGGCCAGCCCUCAGGUCAACACUAACCUACCAUUAACCCAACACUUGUUUUGGCUCUAUACUCCAGCACUUAGAAAUGGUGUUGUGUGUUCCUUUCAAACAACUCAACUGUAGUUUCAUCUGUCCACAGAAUAUUUGUCAGUAGCGCUGUGGAACAUCCAAGUGCUCUUUUGUAAACUUCAGACGUGCAGCAAUGUUUUUUUGGGGGACAGCAGUGGCUUCUUCUGUGGUGUCCUCCCAUGAACACCAUUCUUGUUUAGUGUUUUACGUAUCGUAGACUCGUCAACAGAGAUGUUAACAUGUUCCAGAGAUUUCUGUAAGUCUUUAGCUGACACUCUAGGAUUCUUCUUUACCUCAUUGAGCAUUCUGCGCUGGGCUCUUGCAAUCAUCUUUGCAGGACUGCCACUCCCAGGGAGAGUAGCAACAGUGCUGAACUUCCUCCAUUUAUAAGGCUUUUAGAGAUACUUUUGUAUCCCUUUCCAGCUUUAUGCAAGUCAACAAUUCUUAAUCUUGGGUCUUCUGAGAUCUCUUUUGUUCGAGGCAUGGUUCACAUCAGUCAAUGCUUCUUGUGAAUAGCAAACUCAAGUUUUGUGAGUGUUUUUUAAAGGGCAGGGCAGCUCUAACCAACAUCUCCAAUCUCAUCUCGUCUCAUUGGUUGGACUCCAGGUUAGCUGACUCCUGACUCCAAUUAGCUUUCGGAGAAGUCAUUAGCCUAGGGAUUCACAUACUUUUUCCAACCUACACUGUGAAUGUUUAAAUGAUGUAUUGAUAAAAGAAUGUAUAUGUUUAAAGAUAAUAAUUAAAUAAUUCUACCCUGAAACUUAACUAUUA